AGCUAUAUAUUAAAGAGAUUUAUUUAUAUAAAUAGGUUUGCUAGCUGAUUGUGUAUAUACGCAGGCCAAUGCUUCUAAUUUCAUAGCAAGCUCGCUUGCUAUGAAAUAGGCAACCAGUAAUAUAAGCAAGUGUGCGCUAUUUAUAGCGCUAGCCAACAAACCUAUAAUUAUAUUAACUCUAAGAGAAAUUUAAUAAUAAACGAAGUGAAUUGAAAUAUCUUAGUAACUUUAGGAAAAGAAAUCAAAAGAGAUUCUAUGAUUAGCGUGAGCUAAAAUAGACUAGCCUAAAAAGUCAAAUGGUGGAUAAACUGUUUAAAUUAAAUGGGGAACCUUCCUCAAAGGCUAAAUAUAAUGUAUAAGCGAUAGUGGAAAGUACCGUGAGGGAACCAAAACAAAAACAGUGAUUUUAUAAGCAGUUCGGGAAAAUAAAAAAAGUUAGAACGUACCUUUUGCAUAAUGGGUCACCAAGUUAACAUUAGAUGCGAGUAGGAGGCUUUGCCUAUGCAUACGUAGUUAAACCGAGCGUUAAAAUAACGGUAAGUAUCUAAAGUUAGACCCGAAGCCUGGUGAUUUUACCAUAAUCAGGAUUAUAAAAGUCCGAACGGAAUAUUGUAGCAUAAAUAUCCGAAGAAUUAUGGUAGGUGUAGUGAAAGACAAUACUGACCAGGAUAGCUGGUUUUCUGCGAAACCUAUAACAGUAGGCAAUUUAAGUAUAAUAUCUUAGCAGGUACAGAAUUUAAUCUCAGACAAGACAUAAGGCUUAGCUUGCUAGCAAGUAAAGCCCAUGUUUUAUUUUGUACAAAUUGGGGGAUCAUGAAGAUUUUAUCAGUGAGUAUGUAGACUCGGAAUGGCAAAGAUAUAUCUUAAAUCAUCAGACAUAGAAUGAUAAGGUUGUAUGUCAAAAGGGAAACAGCCCAGAACAAGAGUUAAGGUUCCUAAAUUAUUAGUUGAGUGAAAUUAAGAAGGUUUUUAUUAAAGUCGACAAGGAGAUAGGCUUAGAAGCAGCCAUAAUUUUAUGACCUCGUAACAGAGCGCUUGUUAAGUUUUAAAAGCAUCGAAAAUUUAUCGGAUCUAAACAAUAUACCGAAACCUUGUCCAUAUUAUUUUAUAAUUAAAGCUUAAUUAUAAUUAAAUGGGGUAGCAGAACGUUGAGCUAAAUUAAGAUUUUUAUUUUUUAAAUGAAAUUAUAAUAAUUUAACUCAAGUGAUAAUGGUGACAUGAGUAACUAAAAGAAAAAAUAAAAUUUUUCCGCCUAAAGCUUAUGGAUGUAAUUAAGUAACGGCCUCUAAGUUUAUAUUAUCUAAAGAUUUAAACGAUGAGAUAAUCUUUUGUACUAAGGACGACAUUUUAAGUGAAAAAUGUACUGGAAAAAUAGUACUAAAUUAAUGGCUAUAGCUAAUUAGUUAGCUAUAGCUAUAAAUGAAAAGUAACCGUACCUAGAAUCUGAAACAAGUAAGCUAGUAGAGAAUACGAAGGCGUAAAUGAGCUAACAAUCAUAAAGGAACUCGGCAAAUUGACUACCGUAACUUCGGGAUAAGGAGAGCUCAUUAUUCUUGAUUAAUAUCAGGUAAAGAGGAAGAAGCAUGAAAUAGUGUUGUACGACUGUUUAAUUAAAACACAGCACUUUGCUGAAAGAUUAAAAAUCUAAGUAUAGAGUGUGAUGUCUGCCCGGUGCCGGCUGGUUAACAGAUAUAAUUAAGUAUACUAAUAUUUGAUGUAGACGGAAACCCCGGUUAAAGGCGGCCUUAACGUGAGGGUCCUAAGGUAGCGAAAUGCCUUGGCCGUUAAAUGCGGUCUUGCAUGAAUGAUGUAACGAUACAACAGCUGUCUCUAUGAUUGACUCAGUGAAAUUGGAAUAGCUGUGCAGAUACAGUUUACCUCUAGUUAGACGAGAAGACCCUAUGCAGCUUUACUGUCACUAAUUAUAGAGUAUGAUAAACAAUUUUCAGAUUAUAAGGUAAUUGACGGCUAGCUUGUUUAGCAAGCUAGCUCUAUGACAAUGAGAAUCCUUUAUUUUUUUUUCAUAUGAAUGAAUUGGUUUAGGAUUAUGAGUAGGUAGCUGCUUCUGCUACUUGGCGCAAGCAUUGCUUGCGUCAGGUGUCUGAAGUAUGCAUUCCAGCUCAUGCAUAGUAAAUCAACCUAAUUCAGCUUAUUUUCCUUUCUGCCAUAAGCGCAUAAUGAUAGAUUUAACUUAAAUUUUGAUUUAUGCCAGCUGCAGAAAUAGAUAAGUACCCUUGGCUAAGGAACUAUCGCUAGGGGACAGUUUAUGUGGGGCACAGACCCUGUAAAGAGUAAACAGGAGUGUCUAAUAAUUUAUAAUUAUUUUGUUUGCGAUUUAAGAUAGUGAAACUAUUUUUAAUCAUAUAAAAUUAUUUAUAUGUACAUUCGUUGUAUAUAUAUUUAAAAAAAGGUAGGAUUUUCACUAUAUAGAAAUUAGAGAUAAUAAAAAUAUUAAGAAUAUACGUUUCAGGCGGGCGCGGCGCAAGCUCGCUCCCUUUGAAACGUAGCACUAAUAUUUUUUAGCUAUUAAGACAGGCUAUCAAGCUAGGCUCUAAUAGUUAUGUAUUAAUUAUCUAAAAAGCUCAACGGCUAAAUCUUGCCUUACUGUUUGAUUAUCAACAAAUCUUACAGUUGCGUAAGCAGGGCAUAGGAUCACAAGAUGCAACAAGGAAAGAUCUUGGAUUAUUGGAAAAGCUACGCUAGGGAUAACAGGCUAAUUUGCGCAAGAGUGUACAAAAUGAGUGCGCGGUUUGGCACCUCGAUGUCGGCUUAACUUAUCCUCAUGGAUGCAGGAACUAUGUAGGGUGCGACUGUUCGUCGAUUAAAAAGUUACAUGAGCUGGGUUAAAUACGUCGUGAGACAGUAUGGUUUCUAUCUUCUAGGGGGAAUUAGAAUAUAAUAAGAACUAACUUUUGUACGAAAGGAACAAGAAGAAUUUAAUUUGUAAAAGGGUUAAAUAAUAGUUACUAACCUAUGGUUUACCUGUUGUCUAUGUGCCCAAAUAUUAAAAUAUAUAUGGAGGAAGCUCCUUAAGAGCUUCCCCCGGAAAUUAUAUAUAUCUGUAUAGCUAGCUAGCGGACUCCGGUUAUGCCUGAGUUUGGCAAGCUAAAGCUAUACAUAGGGAUGUUUCUUUCACUAAGAUAAAUAUAUAGCAUAGGCACGGCAGGAAAGCUAAGUUGGUUAAGGAUAAGUGCUGAAAGCAUAUAGGCACGAAGCUUAUCUUAAGAUAUUUCUUAAAUAUACGUAAAAUAUUAUUACGAAGGAUGUAAUAUAGGCUUUAUCCGUACGAAUCAGGAGAUUUUUAAGAAUAAAGUACUAAUUUUAUAAAUAACUAUUUAU
rnacentral:rRNA from 1 species